UUCGCAGGGCCUCUUCAUCUUCCUGAUAUAUGGAGUGUACAACACUGAGGUUCGAAACACAGUCAACAGAAUCAAAGAAAGAAGAAAGGCCUUAAAUUUCUCCAACUGUGCCAGUUCCAGGCCUUCCAGUUCAGUGGGCAGUUCUCGGCCGGGCAGCUCUCCACUACCAGGUGUUUUGGACGGGCAAACAGUCACUACCAGCCACUCCAGCAGUUCAUUGACCCACAGCGACAGCAUCACCCAGAAUUUUGACAAAACAAGGCAUCUGUCCCUCCCCUGUGUCCACGACAACCUAAAUGAAGACUUGCGAUGCCCUGACAGUGGUGUCCACCUCUCUGGACAGGUAAGGCCUCACGCCACUUCUGCGCCCAUCUAUCAAUAAGGAUCCAAGGUUAUUUGACAUCUGAAAAGAAAAUCAAUUUG
ensembl:lncRNA